CGCCAUUUCGGCACUUUACACGUGGUCGCGGCCAUUUUACGUGCGAACAGCGGUGUUUGCCCGUCAACGCGUGGAACUAAAAUCGGAUACGCAAACAGGCGAACACCGCUGAGACCUCCAUACAUCCAGAACUUCGAACGGGAAAAACCGAAUCACCGGCCGUUCGGUAGUUACAUGCAACUUCGUAUGGGGAUUUCAACGACCACGAAGAUGCGAACGGAUGGCAG